rnacentral:rRNA from 1 species
UGCUACAGGCUUAACACAUGCAAGUCGAGGGGCAGCAGGAUCUAGCAAUAGAUUGCUGGCGACCGGCGCACGGGUGAGUAACACGUAUCCAACCUGCCGAUAACUCGGGGAUAGCCUUUCGAAAGAAAGAUUAAUACCCGAUGGCAUAAUUAGACCGCAUGGUCUUAUUAUUAAAGAAUUUCGGUUAUCGAUGGGGAUGCGUUCCAUUAGGCAGUUGGUGAGGUAACGGCUCACCAAACCUUCGAUGGAUAGGGGUUCUGAGAGGAAGGUCCCCCACAUUGGAACUGAGACACGGUCCAAACUCCUACGGGAGGCAGCAGUGAGGAAUAUUGGUCAAUGGGUGUAGGCCUGAACCAGCCAAGUAGCGUGAGGGAUGACUGCCCUAUGGGUUGUAAACUUCUUUUAUAUGGGAAUAAAGUUUUCCACGUGUGGAAUUUUGUAUGUACCAUAUGAAUAAGGAUCGGCUAACUCCGUGCCAGCAGCCGCGGUAAUACGGAGGAUCCGAGCGUUAUCCGGAUUUAUUGGGUUUAAAGGGAGCGUAGGUGGACAGUUAAGUCAGUUGUGAAAGUUUGCGGCUCAACCGUAAAAUUGCAGUUGAUACUGGCUGUCUUGAGUACAGUAGAGGUGGGCGGAAUUCGUGGUGUAGCGGUGAAAUGCUUAGAUAUCACGAAGAACUCCGAUUGCGAAGGCAGCUCACUGGACUGCAACUGACACUGAUGCUCGAAAGUGUGGGUAUCAAACAGGAUUAGAUACCCUGGUAGUCCACACAGUAAACGAUGAAUACUCGCUGUUUGCGAUAUACAGUAAGCGGCCAAGCGAAAGCAUUAAGUAUUCCACCUGGGGAGUACGCCGGCAACGGUGAAACUCAAAGGAAUUGACGGGGGCCCGCACAAGCGGAGGAACAUGUGGUUUAAUUCGAUGAUACGCGAGGAACCUUACCCGGGCUUAAAUUGCAUUUGAAUAAUCUGGAAACAGGUUAGCCGUAAGGCAAAUGUGAAGGUGCUGCAUGGUUGUCGUCAGCUCGUGCCGUGAGGUGUCGGCUUAAGUGCCAUAACGAGCGCAACCCUUAUCUUUAGUUACUAACAGGUCAUGCUGAGGACUCUAGAGAGACUGCCGUCGUAAGAUGUGAGGAAGGUGGGGAUGACGUCAAAUCAGCACGGCCCUUACGUCCGGGGCUACACACGUGUUACAAUGGGGGGUACAGAAGGCAGCUACCUGGUGACAGGAUGCUAAUCCCAAAAGCCUCUCUCAGUUCGGAUCGAAGUCUGCAACCCGACUUCGUGAAGCUGGAUUCGCUAGUAAUCGCGCAUCAGCCAUGGCGCGGUGAAUACGUUCCCGGGCCUUGUACACACCGCCCGUCAAGCCAUGAAAGCCGGGGGUACCUGAAGUACGUAACCGCAAGGAGCGUCCUAGGGUAAAACUGGUAAUUGGGGCUA